CAAUGAUAGCUUGGUCAAGGAAGAAAUAAUGAAAUUAAAGACGUUUUAGAAUUUAAUGAAAAUGAAGGCACAACGUCCCCAGACUUAUAGGACACAACAAAUGCAGUGCUAAGAGGAAAACUCAUAGCUCUGAAUGCCUCCAAAAAGAAACUGGAAAGAAAAAGCCUACAGCUAAUCAGCUAAGGUAGGGAAUAGGAGGUGUAACACAGGCAGGAGAAGAGAGGAUUCUGAGAAACAUUAAGAGAAUAAAGAGAGAUUGGAGAGACGUGCUGGUGGGAGAGAUGCUGAAGGAACAUACUAAAGAAGAAGCUUCCAGACUGAUGGAGAGGUAACUCCUCAGCAGGUAGAUGAAUUCACAUUUGAAUAAAGGGAGGAGACUCGCCAGGGAACACUGAGGAUGCCAGAAGCAGAAAAGCUGAGCAGAGGUAUUUAUCUUGCAGAUACAGCUAUUGUCAUGCUGGGUGUUGAACACACUCUGGAGAAAGCUGAAUCUUCACCAGCAGCUGAGAGAUUACUCUUCAUACUGAUGACCAGCUUAUAGUUGUAGAACUGUAGACCCUCCCCCCACCUUGAAUAGAGUCAUAAGCAGGGAAAUCCAGACCUGAUUAAAAAGUUAUCCCUUUCAGAUUUUCAGUGUUUUUUUUUUUUUACUUUUUUUUAUUAGAUGUUUUCUUCAUUUACAUUUCAAAUGCUAUAUACUUUCCUAGUUUUCUCUCAGAAAAUCCCUUGUACCCUCCACCCUCCCCCUGCUCCCCAACACACCCAACUCCCACUUCCUGGCCCUGGCAUUCCCCUGUACUGGGGCAUAGAAUCUUUACAAGACCAAGGACCUCUCCUCUCAUUGAUGGCCAACUAGGCCAUCCUCUGCUACAUAUGCAGCUAGAGACACGAUCUCUGGGGGUACUGGUUAGUUCAUAUUGUUCCUUCUAUAGGGUUGCAGAUCCCCUUCAGCUCCUUGGGUUCUUGAGCCUCUUGAUCCUCCAUUUGGGUCCCUGUAUUCCAUCCAAUAGAUGACUGUGAGCAUCCACUUCUGUAUUUGUCAGACACUGGCAUAGCCUCACAGGAGACGGCUAUAUCAGGGAGGGGUCCUCCUAGCCUUGUAUCAACUACCUGAAAGAAGGGAAUCUUAAUUGAGGAAAUGCCUUCAUAAGAUCCAGCUGUAAGCCAUUUUCUUAAUGAGGCGGUCCCAACCUAUUGUGGGUGGUCCUACCCUUGGGCUGGUGGUCCUUAGUUCUGUAAGAAAGCAGACAGAGCAAACCUUGGGGAGCAAGCCAGUAAGCAGUGCCUCUCCAUGGCCCACAUCAGGUCUUGCCUCCAGGUUCCUGCCCUCUUUGAAUUCGUAUCCUGGUUUCCUUACAUGGUGAAUAGCAAUAAGGAAGUAUAAGCAAAACCCUUUCCCUCUCAAUUUGCUUUUUGGUCAUGGUGUUUUGUUGCAGCAGUAAAAAUUCUAAGACAGGGAGUUUGAGCAACACUGCCUGACUGUCUGAACAACAACACAUAAAAUUGAACUUUGUAGCAUUUUCCAGUUCAGGAACAGCCAUACUCCAACAAUCUUUUAAACCUUUGGUUGGCAAGUUUUUAGGAAACUGUAAACUGUGGAGAGCAUGGGAGACAACAUUUGAGACAAACGACAUCUCUCAGGGGUCUCAUUUGCUCAGGACCACAGUUGGUCAAAUCCAGCUAUUGGAAUUGUUAUGCCCAGUUCAAGGGAACCCCAGGAGGCCACCAGAGAUUGUGGCACACUGAUUGGAAGCACAAGAGUCUUACUGGAGUCCAGACUCGGAUCACAGCCUUGCCUGCUCAGCUGCCUUCCCUGCUCCACAGCAGCAGGGGCUUCAUUCUUCCUAAGAGAAGCAGCUGUCAGGGAUGUAUGUGGAGCUUGCUUUGAGGAACUCCUUCUGGGUGCAAGACAUGAUACAGGUCUCAAGCUCUGCUCUUUAAGGAAGCAGGCCAGUAGUCCUGUGAAGAGGAUGGUCAAGUCAGUAAAGUCCUGUAGCACUCCAGGGUGGAGGAUCCAUCCCUGCUGAGCAAUCUGUCGGAGAAGCUCAUGCAGAACAAGUUUAGUUGACCAAGGCUGUGACUUCUCAGAGCUGGUGAUGACACAUGGAGUCAGGGUCUUUUGUAUCACAGACAACUGGCUGUGUAACCAAAGAUGACCUUGAACUCAUGAGUCUCUUACCUCUGACACUUCUGAAUUGUUGAGAUAACAGUUAUGUAUAACCACUGGGCAAUUUCACACUUUUUUCAUUUGGAGAGGAAGUAAAUAAAAGCAGAAGUAAAAAUAUAAAUAAAUAAAUAAAUAAAUAAAUAAAUAAAUAAAUAAGGCUUUUGCUGCUGAAGCCUGUGUGUUCUUUCUUGGUGGUGGCACCAUCCACCUUCCUUGCAGUUAUUAGCAAUGUACUUGUUGCUUGUUGUUAUGAGGGCCGUGCUAGCUUUAGAAAUAAUAUGAAAAAAAUAUUCAUUUUGCUAAUUUACAUAGCUUAUAAACUAGGUGCAAAUUGUAAGUACUUAUUUAACAGAGGAUAUUUUUAAUAUUUUAUGAAAUGUCUUAUGAAAUAUUUGGACAGACGUGUUUCUAAGUACUGUGUUUAUGUAGGAAACACUGUCUAUUCUAAGAGCUUUAGGACAUUGGUAUGUAAGGAAUUGUCUAUCCACACGUAGUUGCUUCUGCCUCUGAUUGCAGUUGAGCAAAAAGGAUCAUGAUUCAUUCAGCGAGCCUGGGCUAAAGAGCAAGAUAUUGCCUCAAAAAGAAAAAUGAAAAUAGGAAGUAAUUUAUCAGCACCUUACAAGUUGCCAUUUAAAGUGUGAGCUGAGUUCCUCACAGAUGCUUAGCAAGGCUUCCUGUGAGACAAUCUCAACCCACUCAGAAGGUUUUUGCUAAAUAAAACAUGAUUUGUGGCUUCCUGCUAGGACUCUGACGCUGUGAUACUAUGAAUAUAUAGAACUGUAUAUGGUCUAAGGCUGUCUGCCUUACCCUCUCCACACCUGCAGACCAAAUCUCAGGCAGCUGCACUCACCUGGCUCAGUAUUCAGAGCACCUUUAUAGAAGAACGGGUUGUGACCACAGCCUUCUGCACUGCCAGCUCAGAGUGCUUUGUGGCCCAGCUCUUCAGAUCCAGGUCCAAGAGUUGUGUCUUAAGUGGCUGGCUGGCUUAUGGGCAAAGGGGAAGACUGUUCCUCAAGUCCUAAAGCAAGUGGUGCCUAGACAAUCCUGUAGGUUGGAAGUCUGCAUCCAUUCUGGGGCCUAUGUGCACUGCUCUGGGGCCCAUCUGCACUGCUCUGGGGCCCAUCUGCACUGCUCUGGGGACUAUUUGAACUGCUUUGCCCUUUGAGUUUGGAUUUGCUGACAGGUACACUUUAAUACCCUGCCCCUACUCUCUCUGGUUUUGCCCCCUAUGCACAAGCCAGAGUCCUGAGGCAUGAUGCAGAUCAAACCCCAGAGGAAGUACAUUUCUGUGCUUCCGAUCUGACCAUGACACUUGACUCCAGGCUCUGUCAGUAGCACUGUCUUCAGAUUUGCUUAAUAUGCUUGCUGGCAUACCCAAAGUCAACUGAUUUCAAGGAAGGGGCGGUGCCAUGGGCUUGUUGACUCAGUACAUCGAGAUGGUUUUCAUUCUGUGGCUAGUGAAUUUAAGAGGCAGGAUCUUAUUUAUUUAAGUAACAUUUUGAGAAGACAGCAAGUAAGUGCAUCUUUACUUUGAAAGUUGCAGAACUGAUUACAGGGAGAAAUUAAAUAGGAAGGGGAAAUGGAACAAAAAGUUAAGUAUGAGGUAGAAAUAACUAUUUCCAACCAUGAAUCUCCAAACAUGCACUGGCCUGCUUCUGCACUGGCCCUGGUUCUGUAUGUGUUGUUGCAUAGCUGUGUGUCUUCAGGCUGGUCCCUCAAGGCCUCUGUGACAGCAACUACCGUUUUGUAAAACGAGGCAGUUGUUGACAAUCUCAUAGACACUGAAAUACAAUUUAUAGGCAUUGAGAGAUAUGGUAUUACUCCUUAGCACUUGUCAUGUAUUAAGCUCAUGAGUGUAUUGCAUGUUAAACAGAGAGUAAUCUAAUUUCACAGUUAAAUAAAGUGCUAAUUUAAAUUACUUUUGAAAUUAAAAUGUUAAUGGAAUAAAUUUCCUGGGUCUAAUAAAUGAACUCUCUGCAUCCUUCCCCUCCCCCACCCGUGCUCUCAGUCCUGCAAAGGGGAGGGGGAGGGGUAUGCUGUCUGCCUCUGCAUUUUCCACUGCACCUUACAUCCUGGAGCUUCUUUUAUUUCAGGCUGGAUUACUUUUAUCUGAGGCUGUUGGGGCAGGAGGAAUUAGAUCCAUUUUCCUGACAAGAAUUUUACAUGGAACACAUAUUUGAAAGAUUAAUGUAAGCAGUUGCUGCCGAAACAAUUUAAUCUUGCUUUCCAUAGUAAUGAAAAAUGAAUAAUCAGAAGAAUAAAUUGUGUCUAGGAGAUAAUAAAUACCCCUUAAAGGAUCUUAGCAGUGAAUAUGAAUUAUAGCUGCCCCCUCCAGCUUAGAAGGCCAUGGCCAGUUGGUUCUCAACCAUAUGUCUGCUGUAGCCUUAGUUGCAGAGGCUGAUUCAUCUUACCUCUGUCUAUCAGAGCCAAGCUCUCUGCUGUCUUCCCACUAAUUUGAAACUGCAAAUAGCAGUUUGUGCCAAUUAGAGCAGUGUAUAUAGAAUGCCGUGAAACUCAUGUUUCCCUCCUGUCUCUUGACCAGCAGCAGACCUAACAUGUCUAAUGUAAGCAUUCAAGAUAUAAACUUAACAACCUAGAAUCAUUAGAGUCAAUGGCUCCAGGCAGGGAGCAUUGACACAUGUUUUAUCCUCUGCUGCCUGCCCUUGGGUAAUUCCAGAAAGAUCCACUGAAGCUCUUCCAUAGCAGAAGUUGCCUCUGAUCUACAGGAUUGUUCAGAAGCAAGGAUAGCUCCAGAUUAGUGAAUUUCUCUAAGAGGAUGCUUUGCGAGGUUUAGAAACCCCUCAACAACGAGUAAUGAUUGUUUGCCUCCUACACUAAGGGCUAAAAGGAACUGAGAUUCCCCAGUACAUCUGUGCGGCAUGGCCCAGAGCACCAGCCUUCCUGCUGCUCUGGGACCCAGGAGACCAACAUCAUCAUAUCACCAAACAAUACAGCACCACACACAUCAGCUGAUAAAAGCCAUAUGACUCACCCCUGCUGUGUGCAGUAUGAAAAGCAGUUCUGGAGCCUAACCAAUGAGCGCUUGUGGUGCAAACAUUAAGACUGAGUUGCUUUCCAUGUAAAAAGCUGGGUGUUGUGGCAAACACUUGAAAUCAUAGUGCUGCAGAGGCAGAGACAAGAGGAUCCCUCAGACUCAUUGGCUUCCAAACUAACCCAACCGGUAGGAACCAGGUUCCAGUGAGAGACCCUGUCUCAUAAAACAAGGUAGAUAACAACUGAGAACUAACACUGUUGCUUAUACUCUCUCUCUCUCUCUCUCUCUCUCUCUCUCUCUCUCUCUCUCUCUCAUACACACACACACACACCCCUAUACCCCUGUGGACACACACUUAUAAAUAACAAGUCCUAUACAGUUCUUUGAUUUUAUUUGAGAUUUUGAGAAUCAACUAUUGUUGUCAAACAAGUAAUGGGUUUAAUUGUGACAUUUCCGUGCAUAUUGCUAUGAUGGAUUCUUAGUCCAUCUUCCUUAUUUCCUUCCAUGUCCUCCUUGCUGGUCCCCUUCCUCUGCCAUAUUGAUAUCUUGCUCUCCUGACAUACACGUACCCAUAACCUCUCUUUGUUUCCCACUGCCCUUCCUUUAGACUUAUGUGCCCAUUGUUCCUGAUGUAUCUAUAACUACAACUAUGUGGAAGAUCUAGACAAGAAACAUUUUUACGUUACCUACCUCUGUACAACUUUAUCUUGUCAAAGCUAGAAGUAGGAAUUUGGAGGUGUGAAAAUCCAUUAAACAAGUCUUUUGCAAGAGGAGAGGCUUUUCUUCGUUUUCCUAAAAUGGAGCUUCCCUAACUUGGCACAGCUGUCGUGAAACAGAAUUGGGAAGCCAGGAGCCCAAAGACCCCAGUGUACACAGUGCUGUGUUAUCAAUUCCUUGUGGAACUACCAAUCGAUUUCCUGGCAUGUGUGUUUUCUUCUAACAUUUCCAGCCAGCUUGGUUUUAAAAUCUGUUUUCAUAGAAAUACUCAGGUUCUUCCGUAUUCUUUGGAAGUAUUGCCAGGAUGUGAUUUUAGGCUCUUGACUUGGCCAUAAGAAAGAGGUUGAGAAUCAAAGAUGAAUGGCCAUACCGUCUCUUAAACAGGACAAUCACUCAGUUAAUUUUUCCAUCACCAAGACCAGUGGAAGAAGAAUCAUGUUCUAAACAUGGCAUUGUGAGAUGUUUCCUGAAAGUUUUUGCAAGAGAUCAAUCCCUUCUCCAUGGGAAUAUGGCGAUCUUCCAGUGAACUUUUUAGGAUCAUAGGUCCAGAUCACGGUGACGAUGUUACAGGAAGAAGAAUGAGGCAGAGGAAUAGAAAUGAGGAAGGACAGAUCACAAUAACACCCUUCAAACCAUCCAUUCUUCUAUUACUUAUAAAGUGGUCAUAUGUGUAUUUAUCAAUGUUGACAAUAAAACUGGGUAUGAUGUCUUAGGUGUUUAAUCCCAACAUUUGCCAAGGCUGAGUCAAGGAUCUCACAAGGAGUUUGGAGAUAGCCUAGGCAAUACUGUGAAUCCUCAGAACAGAAUACAGGAAACACGAAGGGGUAGAGGAGACUCCUGAGAGAUGAAGAGUUCAAAGGGGAGAAGACGGAGAUGAUAUCAAAUUUAGUGACCAAGAACAUACACAACCCUGUCUCCUGCCUUAUAGCUGGGCAAGGCACCUUAUGUAUAAAUCACAAUAUCUUGUUUUCAGGAGACUGGAGAGAUCGCUCAGUGGUUAACAGCACUGACUGUUCUUACAGAGUUCCUGAAAUCACUUGCCAGAAACCAUAUGGUGGGUCACAACCAUCUAUAAUGGGAUCUGAUGCCCUCUUCUGGUGUGUCUGAGACAGUUACAAUGUACUCACAUACACAAAAUAAGGAUUGGAAUGGAAAAAAAUUCAUGCCCAUGGAAAUGCAAACCAGAUAUAGCAAUAACAACUGACACACGUCAGGACUGUGUGACAGGACAGAGGCAGAAGAGGUGACUGCUAAAUCUAGGCAAAAUCCUCAUGUGAGGGGAUACUGCCCUGUUGAGAGUAGGAUGGGAAGCAAGCCUGUCCGGAAAGGGCCAUGCUGUGUAUAAGCUUACAGGGCUGAGUCUGAUCUCUGAUGAGAACGAGGUUACAGAUAGGACUAAGUGUUCAAGAUCAGAGUGGUACCUGUACCACAUAGGCAGGAACUCCUGGCUCAAACCCAUAGUAGUUGGUGACUUUGAAUGAGUCAUUUGUCGUUGUUGUUGUUUUCUGUGGCCAAUUCCUUUACUUUAAAAGUGAGAAGAAAAUAGAGCAUUUAAUUUCUCAGGCUGUUGUAGAAGUUUAAGAUUAUGCUAAGAAAUAUCAGUGUUCUGAAAACCUACCUUACCAGAGCUGCAUGGCCUGGGCUUCACUAUCCAAUGCGUUGUCAUUUUUUCUUUGCAUGAAUUGAACCCCAACUUAAGUACAUUUUCAUCUGAUGUUUGCCAGUUUAGACUUUUCUGGGGGUGAGUCAAUGAGUUUAUGAAUUAAAUGUUCAGAGCCCAUUCUGACAUCAAUUAUUGUCAUGGAAACAGUUCCUUUCCCUGUUAGGAACUGCUUCCCACUCUUUAUAAUCUUUAAGAUGCCAAAUCUGUGGUAUAAUAAAAACACAUCAGCACAGAACACAUUUUCAGGCAGAAAAAAAAAACUCUAAAUAGUCUAACAUUUCUGAAGUUAGACUAUAAAUUGACUUUUAGCAAAAGAACUUGCUUGGUAUCUUAGGGCAAUUUCAUUCUGUGAACAGUUUUUAAGUCCAGCUGUAGCUGAGGGAAGCCAGAGCUGGACCCCCACCCAUCACUUCAACAUCAAUUUAGCAUCAUUGUUGACUGGUAAAAGUAUAGCAAGGAAAAUAGACUGGGCACAUUUCUGGUUCCUUCUUCCGUGUUCCCUUGCAUCAGACUCUCAGGAAGUUGAUUGUCACAGAGCCCAGUGUACAGCCAGUGAUCCCUGAAUUCUUCUCUUGGGUUUUUCAGGAAGAGGCUUACAGAUGUCACUACAGAGGCAGUUAUAAAUGGCAGCAUAAAGUUGCUCAGAUAGUCUCUCUGUGAGUUUAGAGCCCCAUGGUGCUGGGUAGCAGGUGGUGCUCCAUGCAGAGUAGAAAGCUGUGCUCCAUCCAUCCCUCAGUGAAACCUUGCAUGGGAGUAUGCUCUGCACUAGGUGGUUUCAGAGGCCCGCUCAUUCACUCAUCAAGACAUUGUUGUGUUAUUUCAGCAAAAUUCCUGACAAGAGCAGUUUAGGAGGUUUAUUUUUGGCUCACAGUUCAAGCGCAACUGUCUGUCAUGGUCGGGAAGUUAUAUAGGAAGUUAUAUCGUCAUGGACUUGUGGCAGCUGGGUGCUUCAUGUCUACAGUCAGCAAGCAGAGGGAGAUGAAUGCUGAUACCCAGCCUGCUUUCUCCUUUUACACAAUCUAGGAUCCCUGUGCAUGAAAUGUUGCUACCCACAUUUAGAGUUGGCCAUUAUAGCUCAAUUAACCCAAUCUGGGGACUCCUCUGUUGCCAGGCCAUGAGAGAUUGUGCAAUGCUGUUAGUGAUCACCAUUAUUUUCAGGCUGAAAAAGUAGUGGCUGAAAUGUCUUUAUGAGUUAUAGAUGCUAGAUUGUUAGAUGUAGGUAAUACGAGAGCCUGAGACUCAUUCAAAAACAAAACCUUAGAGUAACACAAAUGUACACACCAUUCCCAGCCACAGCGCAAGCCUCCCAUGUACCGAUUCAGCCCUUCAGCGUCUGUGCCCUGGGGAGGGCAGUAAGUCUGGGAUUCCUGCAGGUGACUCAGUGUCAAGAGAUGUGGAAGUACUGAGGUGAGCACAACACUUCUCUUUGUACUCGAUGUACAAUGUUGUGUCAAUGUACCAACCUUCCUAGAUUUGAGAUGAAUGAAUCAAGUAUUGGAGAGAGGCCAAGACACCCUUCAGGGGGAAAAGCAUCCCCAUGAAAACCCCAUGAACCUCAGAUGAGGAAAACAAAGAUUGAGGAAUUUGAAUAACCUGCAAAAGGCUUUCUAGUUCCUUAGCACAGAAGCUAAUUUGAAUAGCAUCUUCCCACCUCCUUGUGCUUAGAAGCACAUUCAUGCCAAAUUGAAGAGCUGGAACUCUUCCACUGGAAGACCUGUGUUUCUCUCUUCUCUGGGCUCAGAUUUGUCAAGUGCUCAGUGUAGUGCACCUGACCCCUGCUUUCUGCAAUUAGGGAUGAAGGUCAUUCAUACUCUUUAAUCAAAACUGAGAGCUUAGAUGACUCUCCACUAACAAGUAGGCAUUUUACCUCUGCAGUUAGCUAUUUUACUCUCAUGGCUCUGACCACUUCCUUCACGUGGUGCUACCUUGGCCACUGGCCCCUUUCUCCUGAAACUGGAAUUCUGGAUCUCCUGGCUUCCUUUCCCAGGCCUGGUCUUGGUUUACUGUAGUUGCUUCCCUAGCUAUGAGUGAGUAGCCCCAGCACUGAGCUGUUUCAGCUGUAUGCAUACCCACUGCUUGAGGUCUUAAACUAACAAGUGAUUCCUUCCAAUUGCAUUGGCUGUCUAAACUGCACCUCCUUCAAAGGCAGCAAGCAGAGGUGGCUCUUGCUUCAGUCUACAUUGGUGCUCAGCGGACUGCUUCCUGGUAGCUAUGGUGGGAGGGGAGUAAAAUGGAGAGGAUUUAAGGGGGAGCUUUAUGAGUUAACCAGAGAGCUACACUGAUGGAGAGCCUGUGUCAGCACCUCUAGUUUCUAGAAGCCCUUGCAAACCACAUAUUAUUACCACACCAAGUUAGGAAUCAUAAGAACUGCAUGAGAAGCAAAAGGGAGAGGCCUCCUGUAUUAGACUGAGACAAGGGGAUGUUAAAUUGCAACUCCUCCAGAGUCAAGAGAUGUUCCCCAAAGCCAAGAAAUCCCCCAAAGACUGCUUAUUCCACACAUGGUAAUUUUAGAAUCUUAAAAUAGCCCUGCCUUCAUAGCUGAGCCAAGAUGAGAGAGGGACAAGUUAUAGACUGUAUUCCCUUGAGCUGUUAUUAGCAGAAAGACUUGUACCACUGUAAUCUUGUUUUUCAGUCUGUCCUAUUUCAGGCACAGAACAGAAAAUCCUGCCUAACAUGGGCUUCCGAAUUCAGGAUCCUCCAAAGGUCCAGAAAAGAAGCUGACAAAAAAGAACCUUGGUGUUUACUGGUGACAAUUUACCAGUUUCAAGGGAGAAAGUAUAGAAUGGAUUUUGUGUAGAUCUGUGCCAGUUAAUUACGUUAUUUUUUUUCUUUCCUCCUUGACUGAGCCCUCAUCAGAUGAUUGCCUAAGCACAUGCCUAUUCAUGAAAGGGAUUCCGUCCUACCCCAAGAGUGCCCAGUACACCCUAGAGAAGAGUUCCACCUUAUUUCCAGGUUCACUGGGAGGUCAUUCUGGGAAGGGUGUCCUAGUCAGUAUGACUUUGGUGACAGCUAGGGAAUAGUCAGUAAGGGGUUGUAACCAGCCUUCCAUAGCUAACCCUGUCUUUGAUUCCUUUGUGAUAGCAUUAUUCUUUGGAUUACCAAACUGGCCCCUUUGGAUAUUUCUAUGACCUUGAAAAUUAGAAUAAUUAAGUUUCCUCUGGCACAGCAGAGACUCGAUACGCAUAAUUAACAGCAACUAGAGUUCCCUGGAGAUCAAAUUUAUGAAAGACAUUAAAGGAGAAAAGAAGCAGGCCUUUCUAAGAGAGGAGGAGUGAACAUUGUACUGUGGACUACGAGUGUAAGGGUGUUCUGUGUCCUGUGCACAACUGUCUCCCAGAAUUUGCUGGCACAUUGUCUAUUUUAUUUUCCUUUGUCACACCAAUCACAUGAAACAGGACAGUGACUAACAGACUCUGAAUUAAGGACCAGAGAUAAGAACUGAAAAUUCCUUUACAGGAGAGAACAAUUUAAUUGCACAGUCUAUUAAUUAUUAACUUUAUUGUGGGCAAAACACCUUGUUUGUUUGUUUGUUUGCUUGCUUGCUUGCUUGUUGGUUUGUAGAGGGGUAGCCUCAAGGGUAUUCUUCAGAUGCUCAUUACCUAUAUUUUGCCUAUUUGCCUGGAACUACUCAGUUAGGAUAGGCUAGUUGUCCAACAAUCCUUAUGGAUCUCUGUUUCCAGUUCCUAUGUGCUAAGAUUACACGCAUCCCAGGACUUCUGGACAUCAAAGUCAUAAUCUCAUAAGACAUGUAUUUUAGUUAAUAAAAUACAUACUUAGCCUCCAAACAAUUUUUAGACCAGAACAAUUGUAUAUGAAUGUUUUAUGUUUCCAAGCUGUGACCUCAUCUUAUGUAUUUUGGCCAUACAAUAGACACCAGAGCAGUGAAUUUGAUCAAGUUAUCGUGCUAAAGACUUUGUCAAACAACUUUUUUAUAGCUCUAUUUUCUCUUGAGUUCCCAUCAUAUGUUCAUUCAUGGAUAGGCAGAUAUAAUUAAAAGAUACAGAGCUCACAAGGUUUAAAGUCUAUAAAUAUCUCCUGAUCGUUUUUUGAUAAACAUAGGUGUUCACUUUCAGUCUAUAUGAGUUAAGCACACACACACACACACACACACACACACACACACACACACACACACACACACUGUGGCUAUUCUCUCAACCAAUGAAAAUGAGUGUCCCAAACAUUAAAUGCUUCCUGUUGGGAGUUUCAGAACAGUGUGCCCAUCACCUGGGUUCUGUUUUCACCUUUGGAUUCCGUUGGUUGGGAACUGAUUAUAAAUGUUCUCAAAUUGCCCAGCUGUUCAUAAAGACUAACAAAAAUACAAAUGACAUAAUGAUUCUAGAAACGUUCAAGGAAACAAUCCAGAAAGCCCAUGGUAGAAGCAACAGAGGGUAAUAGUCCUUCAGCAGUAUUGAUAUAUUUACACUGUGGGCUAAAAUCAGUGGUACAGUGGACAGAGCAGAGUUUGAUAAGAUUCGGUUACAGGCAGGAAAAGGUUGUUAACGUUCUGUGAAAGGGUGUCUUCCCCUUAGGCCCUGCUUAUAUACUAUGAUUCUGUGUUGCUGAAUGGGAAACGUAAAUAUUUACUCUUGAGGGGCAGGUAAAGUGUUCCAUAAACACUUCCCACUGUGAUUUUGAUUUGAUAUCCAUGCUUAUCCUGUUUUCUGUAGCCACCAGUGCACUUCCCUUGACAGAUGGACUCCCCUUCCCUCCCCAAAUCAUCACUAUUGAGAGAAUUGGAGCAUUAAGAAACAAACCAACAAGGACACAGUUAAUCUAUCCUGGAUUAUUACUGGCAUUGUUAGCUUUGACCCAGACCGCAUAGUUUUUAUCUUUCAUUUAAAGUGUGUUGGUUUAAUCAGUACUUCAAGCUCCUUGGUUUGAGAUAAAAACAUUUUUUCUUGUGACUUCCUAUAUUUCAAAUUAAGACCACAAUAAUAUCCUAUUUUUAUAAGAAAAUAAAAGAAAGCAAGGAAGGAAAGAGAUGACAGGAGGAGAGAGAGAAGGAUAGAGGAGGAUAAGAGGAGGGGAAGGAGGGAGGGGAAAUACAAGGAGAGGGAAUGACACGCAUCUGAGGCCUGUGACCACUGUAUAUUUCUUGAGAAUCACACCAUCCUUCAGGGUAGCAUCCCUGAUGUCUUUGUCAUGAGAAUGUUGCUUACACAUUUUCUCCAGUAACAUGAAUGUAAGGUAGUGAAAUUCCAACUCUCAAAUCUGUGGGCCCAUUUGAAUCUAUUCUAUAUUGUCAAAUUCAUUCUGCCUUUCGUUUGUGUUGAGGCAUGCUUGCAGUUUUAACAUGACUCUGUCCACAGAAGUUGUGGCUCUGACAAGCUCCUGAGGCAGCCACUUCAUUAAUCUUACUCUAUCAGGACACCUGCUUGCUGCUGUGUGGUGUCAGCGGAUAUCAUAAAGUAAUUAUGUUGUUAAUUCAUGGGCUGAUAUUUUCCAGGCUGAAGCAUGGCUUCCUGUAGGCAGUGAUCUGGGAAAUCAAAUCAAGGAGGCCAGGAAAAACAUUGACAGUUGUCAGCUUCUGCUAGCUUAGUUGUGCGACAUAACCAUGGAUGGAAAGAAUUCCAUUUGUGGAACAAGAUCUCUUUCUUAGCUGCAGUUCAGCUGCAGUCCUGUUCUGGGGCUGACAUAAGCCAAGAACUCUCAAGUGAGAGUCUGUCAGACCAGAACUCUCACUCCAAUUCCUUGCUCCAGGGUCUUGAACUCACUGACCUUCAGCGCCCUUAUUAGCCUGAGAAGUGAUAACAGAGUCCAUACAGACAUAAAAUCUUAGUCCAUUGAUAGAUGUUAGCUUCUGUUAUUUAGCACAUGGCUGCUUUCACUUAGCAAUACAGACAAGCUACUUGGAGAAAAUAGUACUCUUUUACCUUUUAUUCUAAAAGCAAAGAAAUACAAAACAAAGGAUGAAGGAGCAAUCUGAAAAUGAAAAUAUCACCAUAUAAUUUUUCAUGAUAAUCUGAUUUCCCGAAGGAUUUCGAUGAAGUUCUUUAGUCUACUGCCUCCCAAGUGGCCCUGGGCAGGUUACUCUAUGACAUGAUUCUCCUAACAGAUACUGAGUAUCUACUUGGUGGUUCACUACAAGCAUAAGAAAAUAUCCUAAACACCAAACCAUGACUGGCCCAUGAAUCAAGCUGAAACCUAAGUAACUGUGGUUCUUUAUAGUAAUGCUAUUGCUUAUGCAGUUGUGGUUUCACUGAGGAAGCUGACAUAGCACAGAAAAUAGUGAGCAACCUAUAAUUCACUGCCAUAUGCUGUAGAUGUAAGCGUGUAUAUACAUAGACAGAAUAUAGAUAGAUAUAGACACAUGGUAGAUAGAUAGAUGAUAGAUAGAUGAUAGAUAGAUAGAUAGAUAGAUAGAUAGAUAGAUAGAUAGAUAGAUAGGCUAAAGAACAUUAAUUUCUAAAUGUUUUACCUAUAAAAUGUUUGUUAUUAUUUCUUCCUCCAAUGACCUGAAAAUAAAGCAAAAUCACAACACAAAAUGUUUUACAUGUUUUCUAAUUGUAAACUCAAUGAAAGGAUACUGUAAACAAAUUACAAAAUACAGAUACAAAAAGAAGGAAGGGUUUAGCUACUGGGAAUACUUCCCUAUGCCAGCUUCUUAAAUGAUACUCUUUGUGUGUUUAUAUCACUUGACAAAAAGGAAUUAUGUUAUAUGAACAGUAUAUAAUCUAGCCUAUUUUUGGCGUAUUCUGGAGACAUACCUGGAACAUACUAUGUAAACCAAACUGUCUCAAAUGUGUCAAUCCUGCCCUCUACCUUCUGGUCUAGGUUUAUAGGUGUAACCUAUCUUGUACUUGGUGAUGAAAUAUGUAUUAUUUUAUUAUUACAAUGUUUCUCAACAACACUGUAUGUGAAACAGCACCAUUCUUCUGUAUUAAUGUAGUAGAACUCAUGUACAGGCUCUCCAGUGAUGGACAUGGAGAGAUUGCCCUUGAGUGCUAUGGUAACUAACUCCUAAAUGAGAUUUCAAACCUACCCAGCCUUGAAGACUGUUGUGGUGUUAUCUGUGAAGUCCUUAAGAAAGAUUCAUGGUUGGGUCUACAGCCAAAAGGUAGAGAACUCAGUGCUGUGGUCCAUGUACCGGGCAGGAGGGAAUAUGAGAACUGAAGAGGUUAACUCCAAACCAUUAAGGUCUCAGUCACAGGGCAAGUAGAGUAUGUAUGAGAACACUUAGGCACACUCAGAAUGUCUUCAGGCUUGGAUGCAGACUGGAAAGGCCUGCACUUGUUAGAAAUAGUCUUCCUGGAAGUGCAGUCUUUUGACUUGCUCAGUGGCAAGUCUACAUACUUCUACCCCAGAGAACAGACAGAGCACCAAGAAUUUUGCUAGCUGGGAGGCUAGAGAAGGAGGUAGUUCUGGAAAUAAACCUGUUAUAAAUAGUUAUUAAGGAAAGACAAUCCCUACUUUGUAAGGGAGGUUAUAUUUACAAGUUGAUAUAGUUUUCACUUAUGAGCUCUGAGGAACAGACAUGAGAUUGCAUCCUCAAUUCCACUCUAAGAAAUCUCUGGGAAGUAACUGUGAUUUGCUUUGCAAAUUGUGACUGGACCAGCCAUGGUUAUCUGGAGAAGCUGGGAAAUAACCAAUUACCAUCACUGGAGAUCUUUCUCUUUUUAUAUUUAUAAUUAUUUUGUGUGCAUACAUUUUUUGUGGUCAUACAUAUAUGUGUAUAGGUGUUUAUGUGCAUGUUGCGAGUGUGUCAAGCAAAGAAAAACUUGGGUCUAGUCUUCAAGUGUCUUGGUCCUGUUGGGUUGAGAUAUGGUUUCUCACUGGCCUAGAAUUUUACCAAAUAGGCCAGAAUUUUAGGGAUCCUCCCAUCUCUGCCUCCCAUUUCCCCUUCAAUGGUAUUAUAAUUUUGUUUCUCCACCUCUGGAUUUUUGCACAGGCUCUGGGGAUCCAAACUAUGUUUCUCAUACUUUCAAGGUCAGAAGCUGAGGUAUUUGUCUAAAAUACUCCAUCUUUGUCUAAAAAAAUCCAUUAAAAUCAUUAUAUACACAUCACAUUAAUAUUUCAUCUUAAUACUUUUUAAUUUAGUCAAUUGUAGAAAUAAACAUAUCUUGUCCCAAAAGGGCUAACUGUCCCUCACCUAACUAAUAGCUAAAAAUAAAACCACACCUUCUACUGCAAAGUAUCUUAUGUCCAAAAGACUCUAGUUCUAAUCCAUACCCACUUGUGGCUAGGUGACCUCUGUUUCUUUUCUCAUGCCACAGUCCAUGGCUGUGGUGAGAUCAGAGAGUUCCAGCUGCAUGCUUUAAAAAAA